AACGAACGCUGGCGGCAGGCUUAACACAUGCAAGUCGAGCGCCCCGCAAGGGGAGCGGCAGACGGGUGAGUAACGCGUGGGAAUCUACCCAUCUCUACGGAAUAACGCAUGGAAACGUGUGCUAAUACCGUAUACGUCCUUCGGGAGAAAGAUUUAUCGGAGAUGGAUGAGCCCGCGUUGGAUUAGCUAGUUGGUGGGGUAAAGGCCUACCAAGGCGACGCUCCAUAGCUGGUCUGAGAGGAUGAUCAGCCACACUGGGACUGAGACACGGCCCAGACUCCUACGGGAGGCAGCAGGGGAGAAUAUUGGACAAUGGGCGCAAGCCUGAUCCAGCCAUGCCGCGUGAGUGAUGAAGGCCCUAGGGUUGUAAAGCUCUUUCACCGGUGAAGAUAAUGACGGUAACCGGAGAAGAAGCCCCGGCUAACUUCGUGCCAGCCGCCGCCGUAACAC
rnacentral:rRNA from 1 species